AUCUUUGCGCAGUGGCAAUAUCGUAGCUCAUGAGGUUAAUCCGAAGCGCGAUUAUUGCUAGUUGAAAACUUUUCCCAAUACCCCGCCGUGCCGAUUAGAAAUCUAGUCGGCACCGGCAAUUUUUGGGGGUCUCUACGGGGA
ensembl:snRNA U4 U4 spliceosomal RNA